rnacentral:lncRNA from 1 species
CCUCUCUGCUCUCUCUCCCAAACACAAGUCAGUCAGUAGUUGGUUUUCCGGCGAGUGAGGAGCUAGUCGUGUUUGAGCUUCGAAGGUGCUGUAAUUCAAAGCUCUGAGCUGUUUUAUCCUGGAGGAGGUGUUGCAAGCAUCCCCAGUGCAGCAGGUGGGGGCAAUAUUCUCUUCAAGAGCAGUCAGGUCUUCGUAUAAGGCCUGACGACUCAGCUG